rnacentral:rRNA from 1 species
CCGGUUGAUCCUGCCGGACCCGACUGCUAUUAGAGUGAGAUUAAGCCAUGCGAGUCAACGUAUGAAUAAUACGUGGCGAACGGCUCAGUAACACGUAGUCAACAUGCCCAGAGGACGUGGAUAACCUCGGGAAACUGAGGAUAAACCGCGAUAGGUCAUAAUUACUGGAAUGUGUUAUGGCCCAAAUCUAUAUGGCCUCUGGAUUGGACUGCGGCCGAUCAGGCUGUUGGUGAGGUAAUGGCCCACCAAACCUUUUACCGGUACGGGCUCUGAGAGGAGGAGCCCGGAGAUGGGCACUGAGACAAGGGCCCAGGCCCUAUGGGGCGCAGCAGGCGCGAAACCUCUGCAAUAGGCGAAAGCCUGACAGGGUUACUCUGAGUGAUUCCCGCUAAGGGAAUCUUUUGGCAUCUCUAAAAAUGGUGCAGAAUAAGGGGUGGGCAAGUCUGGUGUCAGCCGCCGCGGUAAUACCAGCACCCCGAGUGGUCGGGACGAUUAUUGGGCCUAAAGCAUCCGUAGCCGGUCUUGCAAGUUUUCCGUUAAAUCCAGCUGCUUAACAGAUGGGCUGCGGAGGAUACUACAAGGCUAGGAGGCGGGAGAGGCAAGCGGUACUCAGUGGGUAGGGGUAAAAUCCUCUGAUCCAUUGAAGACCACCAGUGGCGAAGGCGGCUUGCCAGAACGCGCUCGACGGUGAGGGAUGAAAGCUGGGGGAGCAAACCGGAUUAGAUACCCGGGUAGUCCCAGCUGUAAACGAUGCAGACUCGGUGAUGGGCCGGCUUUAUGCCGGCUCAGUGCCGCAGGGAAGCCGUUAAGUCUGCCGCCUGGGGAGUACGGUCGCAAGACUGAAACUUAAAGGAAUUGGCGGGGGAGCACCACNAAGGGGGAAG